AUCGCUUCUCGGCCUUUUGCCUAAGAUCAAGUGUAGUAUCUGUUCUUAUCAGUUUAAUAUCUGAUAUGUCCUCUAUAUGGGGACAACAUAUUAAACGGAUUUUUAGCACCGGGAGCUGAAAAAGGGGCUUGCUCCGUUCACUCCACGCAUCGACCCGGGUACUGCAGUGCCGCCGGGAACGGUGCACCUUCC
rnacentral:snRNA from 1 species